GAAAUACCCUAGUUGGUAAGACGCCGCGCUCAUAACCGGAAGGUUGUGGGUUCGAGUCCCGCCGA
rnacentral:tRNA from 1 species